UAUUGCACAAUGGGCGAAAGCCUGAUGCAGCAACGCCGCGUGAGUGAUGAAGGCCUUCGGGUCGUAAAGCUCUUUGAUCAGGGAUGAUAAUGACAGUACCUGAAAAACAAGCCACGGCUAACUACGUGCCAGCAGCCGCGGUAAUACGUAGGGGGCGAGCGUUGUCCGGAAUUACUGGGCGUAAAGGGUACGUAGGCGGCUAUAUAAGUCAGGUGUGAAAUACCAGUGCUUAACACUGGAAUUGCAUUUGAAACUGUGUAGCUUGAGUGCAGGAGAGGAAAGUGGAAUUCCUAGUGUAGCGGUGAAAUGCGUAGAGAUUAGGAGGAACACCAGUGGCGAAGGCGACUUUCUGGACUGUAACUGACGCUGAGGUACGAAAGCGUGGGUAGCGAACA
rnacentral:rRNA from 1 species